AAUCUCUCACCGUUUAGCCUAAAAUAACAGGAACACGACAAACGAUUGUUCCAUUAUCUGCUCUACAACACAAUACCAAUGUCCACGUCCUAACCUGGAAGGUGGUAAAACAUCCUUUGCAAAAAUAACGCCAUCUAUCGGGAGAAAUCUUAGAAAAAAUGUGGGUUCGGUCGACACGAAAGACCUGUAGUAUGACAUGCAGUUUCGCAAGAAUCCUUAUCGGGAAAUUUCAAAUCAAUGCUCUUUGUUACUAGGGGCCCUCACUCCGUUCAGGAAGUUCCCGAUAGGGUCCGGCCUGGUCGCCAAUUCGCCACAGAAUCUCGGAAACCGUUUGCUCUUCCUGCAAAACUGACGGCUGAGGAUCCGAGUAAUCAAGAAAAGCAAGUUAGUUAUAUCGAUGGGCGUACAGUUUGUUUAAUCCAUCUAUUGGUAUUCUUCAUGGUUUAACCAACAAGUAUCAUCAAUCAAUCCCGCUGAAAAGUGAAGAACACCUAGUUUUUAAGAAUAAAGAUUGAGUGCUACUGCUAAACACCACCUGCCAGUUCCAAGCACAGAUUCAUUGGGCAAAGCAAACGAAAGAGUCCAUCCUUGAAACCGUCAAGUGACGCUUCCCUUUGCAGUACCUUUUUCGCUUACCAAAGACGUCGGAGCUGUUCUUCACUUUUAGAAGCCUACGUACCCUUUCCUACAGUCUUACUUUAUGUAAAUGGCAUAACGCUUCGAAUGGCCUUACGCUUGUUUUUGGGCGACAUCCGAACGUUCCAAAAGAACUAGAUUAACAAUUGGGCGAAAAAGGGUAAUUCUACAAGGGAGAGCAACAACAACCCACCUGGCUGCACAUUAACAAUACGAAUAGUCAACAAGUCAUCACGUGAACUCCUCUUAAAAAACGAGUUUAUGAAGCGUGCGGAGAUCAUCCUAUGGAUCGUGCGGAGAUCAUUUGUCUAAGCAACGAUCGUAAAUCAAAU